GGCACUGUAGCCAAGUGGUUACGGCGUCACGUUUAGGUCAAGGCCGAGUCCGUGAUGGGAAACCGCGCGAGUUCGAAUCUCGUCAGUGUCA
rnacentral:tRNA from 1 species